rnacentral:tRNA from 2 species
GCUUCCGUAGCUCAGUUGGUUAGAGCUUCGUACUAAUACUCGUUAGUGAUGCGGAGGCCGCAGGUUCAAGCCCUGCCGGGAGCA